GCUGUCCUUCCCCUCCUCCCCCACAUACAUUUCCACUCAUCCUAGAGUUGGAGCUAGAAAGAGCAAGUUGAGAAAGAUCCUUCUAGGGCCUGAAACUGAAAUCACUCCAGUUGACCUGUGCUUUUUCAGGCAACCUGGCAGAGAGAAACCCAUCUAGGGGAGGCAGGAGGUGAUGCAGGUACCCUCUUCUCUCCACUCUCUUUAGCCUCCUCCACUUCAGAUCCUUGCCCUUCUGAAGCCACCAGGGUGUGCUCCCCAUCCUGUGGUUUCUCAUACCAAUUCCUCCCAUGAUUUAGCUCUUCCACUGUGGGCCCCAGCUUCCUGCCCACCUCUGUGUUUCAUCAACCCUCUAUCUGUUCCCAUGGUCACCUUUACCCACUCUCCCCUGUGCUUGGCCUGCCUUCCCUCCUUACCCCGCAUAGAGUUCUUGCUCCAUUGUGACUGCCUGUCCCUAGCUUGCCCCCUCAAUGGACUCGCCCCUCUCUUUCCACUAUAGGAACUUUGGCUGACUAAGUCCCAGGACCUGGUGAACCCCAAUCCUCCAUGUUCCGCAGGCCUGUGCCACAGCAGCCAAAGGAUAUUGGAGAAAAAUACACAGCUCUGCUGACGGGUUGCUCUUUAAAUUCAUGACCACAAACCUCAAAUUGGCACUUCUCAGGCCUGGCAAGCCUACCAACCUUUCCUAGAAAGUUCAUUUUCCUGUUCUCAGAGAUGGCUAUUUCAUGCUUUCUUCUAUCUCUACAAAUUACCUUGCACUCCUCUGCUAAUGUUCUUGGCUCACCCUUCAUUGAGAAACUAGAAGCUGUCAGACCUAAUCUACAGCCCUCCUGCCCUGUGCAUCAUGCCUUCCUCCUGUAACCCCAAAAGGGGUGUCUCAGGACCCAUCCUCUCCAGCAGGCUUGAGGCCUCCACUCCAACAAGUAAACAAGUAUCCUUUUUUUUUUUUUUUUACAAGUAAUCCUUUUUUUUCUGCAUCAUCAUUUUCUCCCUUUCUGCCCUGUUAUUCUCAUUUGCAUUCAAACAUGUUCUAGUAUCCCCCCUUCACGAAGGAAAGAAAGAAAGAAGGAAAGAAAGAAAGAAAGAAAAGAAAAGAAAGAAAGAAAGAAAGAAAGAAAGAAAGAAAGAAAGAAAGAAAGAAAGAAGGAAGGAAAGAAGGAAGGAUGGGCAGAAGGAAAGAAGAGGAAGGGAAAGCACUCCUCUGUAUCAGUUAGGGUCCUGGCAGGAAGUGAAAUUUCACUCAGAUGGUUCAACUGAACUCAAAGGAGACACUUCCAAAGUUAAGGGAACAAACAAUGAUGCUGGGACAUUCAGAGACAAGCAGCGCCAGGAUCUCAAGAGUGAUGUAGACUCACCAUCGAUAAUUCAAACACAAUGGCAAUGCACAACACAGAAAGUAAAAGCUGCC
rnacentral:lncRNA from 12 species